AAAAGAACUUUGAAGAGAGAGUUCAAUAGAAUGUGAAACCAUGUGGGGCUAAACGGUUAGCGUUGAUGAGACUGUUGGUAUUCAGCGUGAGCUUGUUGCAAGCGUUGCGGUGUGGCCUGCUUGAUUGAGGUCUGCCGUGGCGAGCCUGGUGCGACUUGCUUGCGUGCAUUUACUGGCAGUGUACGCUGGAAUGUUCGGUGACCCCUUCUGAAAGUGUGAGAGUGGCCCAGACUUCGGUUUGGUAGUCUUCUCGUGCUGGAGGUUGUUGUGGAUGCUGGGCAGUAAUAGGCCGUGCUUUCGCGCUCAAACCUGUGCUGUUGUGGCCUUCAUGGUGUGUGGCUNGCCAUAUUGCUGUGUUGCGUUGCGAUGGUUGCGGGCGAGUGCUUACGGUUUGUUUCCGGUGUGAGAAGUCGACCACCUAACCGACCCGUCUUGAAACACGGACCAAGAAGUCUAGUAUAUGCGCGAGUCAAUGGGUAUUAAACCUACUGGCGAAAUAAACGUAAAGGGAGCUUCGUGCUUCUUAUAUGUGAUCCGUGGACCUCGUGUCUGCGGCGCAACAUAGCCCCAUGCUAAUCGCUUGCGAUGGUGUGGAGGUAGAGCGUAUAUACUGGGACCCGAAAGAUGGUGAACUAUGCCUGAGCAGGAUGAAGUCAGAGGAAACUCUGAUGGAAGUCCGAAGCGGUUCUGACGUGCAAAUCGAUCGUCUGACUUGGGUAUAGGGGCGAAAGACUAAUCGAACCAUCUAGUAGCUGGUUCCCUUCGAAGUUUCCCCCAGGAUAGCUGGAGUAUGGUAUUCUGUUAUAUUCGGUAAAGAUAAUGAUUAGAGGAAUUGGGGACGAAAUGUUCUCAACCUAUUCUCAAACUUUAAAUGGGUAUGAUGUUGCGGUUGCUUGAUUGAACCGUGACUGCGAAAGAAUGCUCCAAGUGGGCCAUUUUUGGUAAGCAGAACUGGCGAUGCGGGAUGAACCGAACGUUGGGUUAAGGUGCCUAAGUUCUCGGUCAUGAGACCCCAUAAAAGGUGUUGGUUGAUAUAGACAGCAGGACGGUGGCCAUGGAAGUCGGAAACCGCUAAGGAGUGUGUAACAACUCACCUGCCGAAUCAACUAGCCCUGAAAAUGGAUGGCGCUUGACCGGGACACCUAUACCCGACCGUUGUUGGCUUGAACGCUAGUACACGUCUGGCCUCAACGAGUAGAAGGGUUACGGCGGUUUGCGUAGAAGGCUUAGGGCG
rnacentral:rRNA from 1 species